UCCCGCUCGGUCGGUAUAGUUUGCUUCCGGACUGAAAUCACGGUGUUUGUUUUGUUUUGAUCAUUCUAACAGAAGUCAAAUAGUCAUGAAACUUAAGGAGAAAUACACAUGUCCUCAUACUUCAUUAUAUGUUAAAGGUUCUUAUGAGGUCAUUUUUUUUAGUCCAGUGUAGUGCUGCUUAACUUCAUUGGAUUAUAGGAAGUCUGACAGUUAACUACACUAAUCCCAUAAAGAAACAAAUAUCAAAAAUUAUAACUGAACUUCAUUGAGUGUGGUCAACUUCACAGUACUUCCUUCUGACGUCUAUGUAGGAAUCCCAACAUUUCUGUCAUGUGUGGAAACACUUCUGGAAAUCAUUUUCUAGAAGUUCUUUCAGUCCCGCCAUUACAUUGCUCUCCAUCUUUUCAAGUGAUUCAAAAUGUGAGCCUUCCAAGAAGAGUUGAAUCAGUCAAGUAUGAUGAUUUUCCCAAUGUUAAUUUUUCUUUCUUGGCCAAAAAUCUCUUUACUAUAAGUACUGUGUGGGAAGGGACAUUGUCAUGAUGCAAAAUCUUCUUGCCCAGUGUAACACCUUUUUUUUUUUUUUUUUUAAUGUACUGCCAUAAACAUUACAAAACAUGGUUGACUCUUUUAGACGAAUAGAUUUGUAAUAGAUUUGAUUUGAUAUGCAAAAUACUGAUCUGCAUAGCUUUAACUUUUGUCAUUCAGACUUUUCUUGAUCUUGGAAAAUCGUGACUAUUUUCCAUAUGAGGUUUGGCAUUUUGUUUGAGGUUGUACUGGAAGACCAAAGUCUUGUCACCAAUCAGUGCUUUUUGUAAAAAUAUGAUUCUUUGGACAGUCUUACUGAAAUAUGUGAACAAAUUUCUUUUCUCAUGUUUUAUUCACUAGCAAGAUUUCCUUAUAUCCAUAUUUUUUAUUAAAACCAUUGUAUGAGUUUCUGUGUUUUAUGUUCAGUUCUGCUUUCUUCUAAGUGUUGACAUUCACUUUCCCAUAUUUUGAUUAGUUCCUAAGUUAUUCUAUAGCCACAUCUUUUACCAUCUUGAAUGCCUUCUCUUCUGCCAAAAAAUCACUUAACUGGCACCUUUUUUCCUCAUUAUCUUAAAGUUUAUGUUGUAUAAGGCUAUACAAAUAUCUUAUAUAUCUCCAUGGUUCCUGUGUGAUGGUGUUCAGGAUAAAGUGAUGUAAUAAGACAUGCUCAGUUUAGCAAUUCUGCAUCUUUGAGCAGUACAUGUAGUUUAUAGUUGUGGGCAAGCUUUCAGUAAUGGCUUGUGUUUGUCCAUAUUGUUAGUCUUGAUUCAAAAUUUCAAGGGAAUAAGUAUGCUGUUUACAAAUAGGAACUCUGCCAUACAGCUGCUACACAAUACACAAAUAAUAUUUCCAGAUUCUAAAGAAACUUUAAUACUUAACUUAUUACAAGAUCUUUUUAAAUCCUAACAAAACUUUGAGCCAAAUUAGGGAUGCUGCAGCAGUGGCCCUCAAUCAUAUAAAAGCAUUAGGUAUACAAUAUACUCUUACGGAGAGUGGCAGUGUCAGACAAGAAAGCUAUAUGAGAAAAAACUGGUAGGUUAAGUGACAUAAGUUGAUCAAGUGGCAACAGCUAACCGUUUCGGCUCUCUGAACGCAAAACUGAUGGUUGUUCAGAUCACUGUUGGUCACUGAAUUUUCAAGUUAGGACAUGCACACAUUGUGUAAUAGUUUAAUUACUUCACAUAUGCCAGAGGGAUGAAAGUCUCUUACUGUCCUGAAAUAAAUGUUACACAGAAAUUAUCUAUAAGCUCCUGAAUUAAAUUUAUCCAUACCAUUUUCAAGAAUGUUAACAUUUUUCAUUUGGGUCUCUACUGGAUGUACUGUUGUUUCCAUGAAUGCUGACCUGUACGUUUUUAUUUAGGGUGAUGGUCUCCAUAAAUAACCAAAAUUUCAUCAGAAUCAUUAAAACAUUUUAGAGAAUAUUGCCAGUUUCUUUUGGAACCCAUCUGAAGGGCACCUAGUUUUGGAGCUAGAAUAUUUGUAUUCACUGGGCAUUGAUUUGUGACAAACUUUUGAAUACCAAAUAUGAACAAAAUGUGUCUGCCUGCUCAAGUUCUAGCAAAGGGCACAUGCAUAUAUACUAAGAGGUGGCACUCCAAAAAACAUUUCUUUGUGUUCAGGAAAUGAAGAUGUGCAAAACCAUCACAGUCUCAAUACUGAUUUUUUUUUCUCCAUCAGAAUAUUUUCUCAUAUGUAUGUUGGAUAUGGGAAAGUGAAAACUGAAAACUUGUUUUGCAUGAUUGGACUGUACAUGGGCGAACUGUUCUGAAAUAUUUUCAAAGACAUCCUUACAUGGCCGAAGCCCUUGGAUACAGAACCGGUAUCACAACAAGCCUGCUAAGUAGCAGGUAGUCGCUAGAUAUCAGUAUACUGGUAAUAGAAAAGAACAAAAAUAUUCUUCAAGACAAAAUAGAUAAGGUAAUGAAGCAACUCGAAUCUUGGUUUUCAGUGAAUAAUAUGGUAAUAAAUAAUGAGAAAACUACAGCAAUGUAUUUCCAUGUGAAUAAACUACAAGAUAGCAUUGAGCCAGUAAUUACCUUUAAAAAUAUAAUAAUUAAUUAUACAGCACAGUUUAGGUUUCCUGAUAUUAAUUUAAAAUGGAACAUUCAUAUUCAGUCGGUCUGUACAAAGCUCAGUAAGGUGUGUUACAUUAUUAAAGCUUUGAAAGGCGAAGUAAGCCCAUAUGUCCUUAGGAAUGUGUACUUUGCUAAAUUUCAAUCUCAAAUAAGUUAUGGUUUGAUAUUUUUUUUUUGGGGGGGGGAGAAAGUGAAAGUAAAAAAAUUCUGAUUUUGCAAAAAAGGGUUCUUUGAAUAAUGAAAGGGGUAACAAAAAGAACAUCAUGUAGACCUAUAUUUAAAGAAUUAAAGAUUUUAACGGUAACAUCUUUGUAUAAUUUAGAGGUGUUGCGUUAUUUCAAGAAAUAUAACAUUUACACCACAAAAAACUCUGACCUACAUAAGUAUGACACAAGAAAGAAAGAAAGAAGACCUUCGCGGGCAAAGUUAUAAUACCUUAACAUAUGAGAAGGGUGUUACAAAUAUGGCUAUUAAGCUUUAUAAUAGACUGCUUUUGGAACUAUGAAUGGUAAAAGCAGAUAGAGAAUUCCUACUCAAAAGAUAUUUACUGGAACACCCAGUGUAUAAUUUGCAUGAGUUCCCCUCAGAAGGACAGCUAAAUGAAUAAGAUUCUCCUUGAUAAAUAGAUUUAAGUGUAAAUAAAAUGACUAGUAACUAGGUAAAGUUUUUAAUAUGAUUCAGCCUAUAAAGGGAAUGGAAGUCUUAAAAGAGAUUGGACUUCAAAUUAUUUAAUCGUUAUCUAAAUUGAAUUUUAUCUUUUGUGUAUUAUUUUGAUAUAAUAGGUUUUAAGUUUAAGAAUAUGACGGUGGUAAUUAAGAUAUAUAUAGUAAGUUGACCUUGUUUUUUAUAAUGGAAGGUAGUCGUAAAUUUGAUUGUACCAAAUAUAUUUUAAUUAUACCGUGAGUGUGAUUUUAAUUGUAAUUGAAUGUUAUGUUAUGUGAUAUAUGAUGACAUUCAGUCAAUUGGGCAGGAGGCCAAUUAGGCUGGAAAAGUUGUAUAUGUAUGUUAUUAUUAUUAUUAUUAUUACUACUACUACUACUACUACUACUACUACUACUACUACUACUACUACUACUACUACUACUACUUUUCUUUCAUGAACAGCUCAUUGCCAACUGUGAAAAAAGUUUUAGCUAGUGUGUUGUUCAGCCAGUAUGCAUGCCAGAGUACAUUUGAUGCAGUCUGAUGAACUUGUCAAAAGUCACACAUUUGCGGGUGCACUGUAUAUUUUAUCCUUGAGACUUAAACAAGUGUCAGAGUAUUGGCAGAUGUGUUUUUAGAGAAGAACAUAUAUUUUAGCUAUGUUAGAAAUAUGCCAUCAUUUCUCCUGCAGAUGCUGUCCGUAGACCACUAGCAUCUUAGAUCACAGUACAAGUUUUGAGGAAUCAAAAUAUAUAGAGAUGUAUGCUUUUGAUAUAAACAUUGUGUUUCCAGUAAGAAUGCUUGUGUUAAAAGGCAUUUAAAUUCUGACCAGUGAAUGUAUUAAACCAAUGAACUAGUGCGUAUGAUUUCUAACUUGGUGAUCUGCCAUAUAAUAAAGGCAAUUUUAAACAGUC